AGGUGUGAGGGCAAUCUGCCUGUGAAAUCUGUCACCCCAUUGAUCGCCAGGGUUGAGUUGGUUGAUCUAGCUGGCUAGUCUGGUGUCCCCUUCCUCCCUCACCGCUUCAUUUGCAUUGCUCCCACAGCUGCAAGCUCAGUGGAAGAGGACGACCUUCCCCAAUAGAGAAGGACCAUUCUUUGGUCAAGGGUAUAAGAGUAGCUGCAGAGUUUAAGAAACAAGGCAGAGGAUCAUAGGGGAAGAGAGGAAAAAAUGAAAGAAGAUGAAACCAGAGAGGGAGAAAAACCAUAAGAAACUCUUAAUCU
ensembl:misc_RNA 7SK 7SK RNA